rnacentral:lncRNA from 1 species
UCACCAAUUGACGAUUAACAGAGAAAUGGAAUCGGGAAUCCACGAGAAAGGAAUUAUAAGCCUUCAACGAAAACAAAUCUCUGCUAUUCACAUUUUUAUUGUUGUCACGUGCAUAUGGAACCAAUAAUUGUCAAUUUUUCCUCAUAGAGACAUUCUCACAAACACUUCACCAACACUGCCAUGUGGACAAUGUAGAGAUUUGCCUCAAAUUAAAUUAUUUAACAAAAGAGAGUGACUAAUAAACAUAGAAUCAACCAAUUUGAAGGCAUCCAAAUGCUCAAACAGUGUAAAUAAUAAUUCAAAGCAAAUCAACCAUAAAAAUGAGAUUGGAAAAGAAAGAACCUCUGUGAAAAAACUUUUCUGUGUAUUUAUAACAGUCCUUCAAUCCAAAGCUUGGUACAGCAACAAAAUUGUUCAACUAAUUGCCAACAAUCCAAAGGAAAUUUAGAAGAACGACUGAACGGACUGUGAGUGGAUCAGAAACUGACGCCGGCGACCUCGGACGGACCUCGAAUCGGCACCGGAAUUUCGAAUCGAACACGAACUCGAAUCAAACUCGACUGAAGUCUAUCCCCAUACUCGAAUAACCAGAAAUCGAAUCCAAGUGAAGAAACAAAAUUCAAACUCCAGCGAAUCUACGGGUCAAAUGUUUCAAAUCAAAACCAUCUCUGAAAUCAAUUCUAACAGAAAGAACCAAAAAUUGUUUGUUAGUUUUCUGAAAUUAACACCUCAACUAAUUGCAAAACUAGUCCUCUACUAUCUCGUGUGUGCUUUUGAGAAUUUCCGGCGACGAAUUGCGUGUGAAUUCCGACGUAGUGAGGAGUGAGCGAGCGUGUGUGUAUAGGCCGUGAAGGAGUGAAUUGGGUGUUGUUUUCCGGCGAGGGAGCUCGUCUGGUUUGAGUGACGACGCUGGAAGUUCAAGGGUCGUUUGGGUGAGAGAGGAAACGUCGACGACGAGGGUGGGAUCGGGUGGUUUUUUUCUGUGAAUUGCCGAUUGCCUUUUUUUGUGUUUGUCUUUUUUCUCCCCAGCCCCGUUAUUUUCGUUUUUUUGUUGUGUAGAAAAUGACUAUAUAGAGGGUUAUGGGUAGAGUGUUACGUGGGGUAGUUUUAUUAGGGGAGAAUGAGUUAUGUAAG